rnacentral:lncRNA from 1 species
GUUCUCUUGAGGCAUUUGGAUUGACCUGCUCCUCACCAGGCACCAUUGAAGCCAAUGGCCACAAAGGGAAGCAUUUGCACUGAAGCUGAGUAGUUGGGGCACUGAUAUCUCAAUACCCAACAGAAAUGGGUAUUGGCACCUCAUUGACUGGUUUACAGGAACCACAGAGCACUUUUGAACAAGGAGAUGUGGACUGCAGCUUAUGUUAGAGCAAUGCUUCCCAAAUACAGAUGGUCUCCACAGUAUCCUGUGAAUUUUAUUAAGAUGCAGACUCUGAUUCAGCAGUUCUUGGCCCUCCAACAUCAUGCUGAAGACCAGG